CAGCAGCCACGGUAAUACGUAGGGUGCGAGCGUUACCCGGAUUUACUGGGCGUAAAGGGCGUGUAGGCGGCCUGGGGCGUCCCAUGUGAAAGGCCACGGCUCAACCGUGGAGGAGCGUGGGAUACGCUCAGGCUAGAGGGUGGGAGAGGGUGGUGGAAUUCCCGGAGUAGCGGUGAAAUGCGCAGAUACCGGGAGGAACGCCGAUGGCGAAGGCAGCCACCUGGUCCACUUCUGACGCUGAGGCGCGAAAGCGUGGGGAGCAAACCGGAUUAGAUACCCGCGUAGUCCCUGUCUCUUAUAC
rnacentral:rRNA from 1 species